GGGGACCUGCGGAAGGAUCAUUACCGAAUGUCGACACGAGUUGUUGCUGGUCCUCGAAUGGGGGCACGUGCACGCUCUGUUUAUGCAUCCACUCACACCUGUGCACCCUCUGUAGUUCUAUGGCCUUGAGGGCCUCUGUCCUCUUUGCCCACGGUUCUACGUUUUUACACACACACCGUAACAAAGUCUCGUGGAAUGUAUGCAGCGUUUAACGCAAUACAAUACAACUUUCAGCAACGGAUCUCUUGGCUCUCGCAUCGAUGAAGAACGCAGCGAAAUGCGAUAAGUAAUGUGAAUUGCAGAAUUCAGUGAAUCAUCGAAUCUUUGAACGCACCUUGCGCCCUUUGGCUAUUCCGAAGGGCAUGCCUGUUUGAGUAUCGUGAACACCUCAACUCCUCAUGGUUUGCCAUGAUGGGCUUGGACUUUGGGGGCUUUGCUGGCUGCAACGGUCGGCUCCUCUCAAAUGAAUCAGCUUCCAGUGUUUGGUGGCGUCACAGGUGUGAUAACUAUCUACGCUUGUGGUCUCCCCACCAGGUAACCUUCAGCGAUGGGGGUUCGCUGGGGCUCAUAAACGUCUCUCCUCUGCGAGAGACAGCUUUUUGAACGUUUGAUCUCAAAUCAGGUAGGACUACCCGCUGAACUUAAGCAUAUCAAUAGGC
rnacentral:rRNA from 1 species